UAUUAACAUAAUAUUAUGAUGGAUUUAAAAUUCGUUAAUAUUAAAUUGUGCUUAAAAUUGUUCAUCAUAUUGAAAUUGUUUAUUCAGGAAUCGAGUACGUAAAUGAAAUUAAAACUACUGUUUUAUUUUAUUACUUUAUAAUGUUUCUGUUUUAAUUGAAUAGCUAAAAAUUUAAAUUUAUGUACUCGAACAUCAUAUUACCUAUGAUGUUAGGUAAAAUUAUGUAGAUAAAAUGAUUAUGUUAUAGAUUCAGUAAGUGUUACUCUAGCUAAUUUAAAUACUGUAUGCUGUAUUGAUUCCGGAACAAACGAAAUAACUAAUAUAAAUGAUGCGCUACCAUAUUGUACAGCAAUAGCUACAUUUAGUGGAAAUAACCAGAGUAAGUAUUCACAUAAAAUAAAAAAUUGUAUUAAACAUUCAACUUUAUAAAUUAGUACAUAAUGUCACAUAUUUUUAUAACGUUAGGAAAAAUAUAUUUUUUUAAAAGAGCCGAAUAAUAUUGGUGUGUAAAGGUACUUUAGAGAGAUAAUUUUUCGAUUUCCUCAAGAGUUUUCUCAUGAAAUUGGAAAAACCGGAAAAAAAUCGGUACAACAGUAAACAAAUAUUAUUAAAACAAAAAUAUAAUGCCUAUUUUAUGGUUUUACUCUAAAAUAACAUAUAUUGUUGACAAAGAAUCAUUAUCUGAACUCCGCACGGAAUAAUCAUUUAUUCGUAAGCAAUAGUUCAUCGUAUAAAUUUUGUUAUCAAUAACAGUGGCUGCACCCGACCCCAUUAUCCUAGGUCGUCUUUUUUAUAAUUUGUUAUUUUUUCUCAUUAUCUAUUAGAUGACUUCGGGGUAUCCAUGCCUAUUAUUUAUGUCCAUGGCCUGACUAAAAAUCAUUAAAUAAAACAUUUUAACUACAAUAAAAAAAUGAACAAUCAUACAAUUACUACAAUUAAUAUUUUCAAUAUUGCCCGAUAAUUUAAUAUAAAUAGUAUAAUAGGUAUAAUCAGAUAUAUGCUUAAUAUUAUGUAAAUAUAAUAGAAAUAUUAUUAUUCCAAAAAAAUGCAAUUUUAUAGUACAAUACGAUUAAUAUGGACUUUAAUAAAAUAAAAUGGACUUUCAAGUUUCAGCGUAGAAUUUACUCUGUCUUUCUGGUAGGCAAUAGAGAAAAAUUGUACUAAUGUAAAGAAAUUAAAAAUCCUGAGGUGAGAAGUAGUUAGAAGUAGUUAGCUUAGUAGUUAACUGUAUAGCUUGGAGUCUCCCACCCAAAGACCGUGGGAAUAUACCUAUAGACGAUGAUUUCGGUAUUGAUGACUACAGCACUACCAUCGACAACGGCCCUCCCCCGGAUCUAACACCUGCUGCAGCUCAACCUGGUGGAGAUCCGGCAGAUUCUAGUGAACAAUACUCGAAUAAAAAUAAUUGUGAGCUGCUAUAAAUAACAUAAAAUACAGAAAAUCUCAAAUAUUGGAGAUUUCUACCAUGCGUUGAAGAAUAUAAACGGAAUUUGGCACUUGUAAUUUAAUUUAAUUUAAUCAAUAAAUAGGUAAGUCUUAUUCAAUACUAAUUUUAUAUUCAUAAAUAAUUCUGAUAUUGUUUUGAUAAAUUAAUAAAUGAGCAAUGAUUUUUAUAUGAUAUUUCAAUUACACCAAUUCUAAUUUAUUAGAAGGAAAAAAUACUUUUAUUUUAUUUCCAUGUUUAUACUAUUCUAACAUGUAGAUAAUUACGAG